GAUGAACGCUGGCGGCGUGCCUAAUACAUGCAAGUCGAGCGAACAGACGAGGAGCUUGCUCCUCUGACGUUAGCGGCGGACGGGUGAGUAACACGUGGAUAACCUACCUAUAAGACUGGGAUAACUUCGGGAAACCGGAGCUAAUACCGGAUAAUAUAUUGAACCGCAUGGUUCAAUAGUGAAAGACGGUUUUGCUGUCACUUAUAGAUGGAUCCGCGCCGCAUUAGCUAGUUGGUAAGGUAACGGCUUACCAAGGCAACGAUGCGUAGCCGACCUGAGAGGGUGAUCGGCCACACUGGAACUGAGACACGGUCCAGACUCCUACGGGAGGCAGCAGUAGGGAAUCUUCCGCAAUGGGCGAAAGCUUGACGGAGCAACGCCGCGUGAGUGAUGAAGGUCUUCGGAUCGUAAAACUCUGUUACUAGGGAAGAACAAAUGUGUAAGUAACUAUGCACGUCUUGACGGUACCUAAUCAGAAAGCCAGGGCUAACUACGUG
rnacentral:rRNA from 1 species